rnacentral:rRNA from 1 species
GUGGAUUAGAUACCCUGGUAGUCCUAGCAGUAAACGGUGCACGUUUAGUAUGGGAGGAAUCGACCCCUUCCGUGCUGGAGCUAACGCGUUAAACGUGCCGCCUGGGGAGUACGGUCGCAAGAUUAAAACUCAAAGAAAUUGACGGGGGCCCGCACAAGCGGUGGAGUAUGUGGCUUAAUUCGAUGCAACGCGAAGAACCUUACCUGGCCUUGACAUGCAUUUCUAAGUCGGUGAAAGCCGGCGAGUGUAGCAAUACACAACUUGCACAGGUGCUGCACGGCCGUCGUCAGCU